UACGGAGGGAGCUAGCGUUGUUCGGAAUUACUGGGCGUAAAGCGUGCGCAGGCGGCUAUGCAAGACAGAUGUGAAAUCCCCGGGCUCAACCUGGGAACUGCAUUUGUGACUGCAUAGCUAGAGUACGGUAGAGGGGGAUGGAAUUCCGCGUGUAGCAGUGAAAAUGCGUAGAUAUGCGGAGGAACACCGAUGGCGAAGGCAAUCCCCUGGACCUGUACUGACGCUCAUGCACGAAAGCGUGGGGAGCAAACAGG
rnacentral:rRNA from 1 species